rnacentral:rRNA from 1 species
ACGGGGCCGCACAAGCGGUGGAGUAUGUGGUUUAAUUCGAUGCAACGCGAAGAACCUUACCUGGUCUUGACAUCCCGGAGACCCUUAGGAAACUAGGGGGUGCUUCCAUCUGGAAGAAUCUGGAGACAGGUGCUGCAUGGCUGUCGUCAGCUCGUGUCGUGAGAUGUUGGGUUAAGUCCCGCAACGAGCGCAACCCUUGCCUUUAGUUGCCAGCAGUUCGGCUGGGCACUCUAAAGGGACUGCCGGUGUUAAACCGGAGGAAGGUGGGGAUGACGUCAAGUCCUCAUGGCCUUUAUGACCAGGGCUACACACGUACUACAAUGGCCGAUACAAAGGGCAGCGACACUGCGAGGUGAAGCCAAUCCCGUAAAAUCGGUCUCAGUCCGGAUUGGAGUCUGCAACUCGACUCCAUGAAGUUGGAAUCGCUAGUAAUCGUGGAUCAGCAUGCCACGGUGAAUACGUUCCCGGGCCUU